UGUUGGUCAACCUACAUGGUCUGUUGGAAAGGCAUCACCCCAAGCCUCCACCACCAAUAAGCAGGAGCAGAGAAUGAAGAGGAUGGAAAAGCUCAAAAACUUUCUCCAAAAGAUAAAAAAUGAGAGAGACAAACUCCAGGGAAUCCUAGCCAAUUACACUAACAAGGAUUAGAACAACAGGUGAUGGCUGACCUGAAGAGAAUGCCCCAGGACAUCAGUGAGGCCUUGUACAAGUGCAAGGAGUUGACUAAAGAAAAUCAAUUCUACUGGCACUGCCACCUCCAGAGUGAAUCUAACCAUCUCCAGCACAAAGUCAGGAUGUUGUGGAAGGAGAACACACAGUUGCUAGAGGAGCAGAUUGCAUUAGAAGAAUGCUCCAAAGAAUCAAAGAGGCUGUGUAAAGAAGACAGCCUGAAGACCAAUGACCUAUGUACCAAGCAGCAGC
rnacentral:lncRNA from 1 species